ACUCAAAGGAAUUGACGGGGGCUCACACAAGCGGUGGAGCAUGUGGCUUAAUUCGAGGCAACGCGAAGAACCUGACCUGGGUUUGACAUGCUGGGAUUAGCACUGUGAAAGCAGUGUGACGCGGCUUGCCGUGGAACCAGCACAGGUGCUGCAUGGCUGUCGUCAGCUCGUGUCGUGAGAUGUCAGGUUAAGUCCUCUAACGAGCGAAACCCUUGUCGUUAGUUGCCAGCGGGUAAUGCCGGGCACUUUAACGAGACUGCCGGUGUCAAACCGGAGGAAGGCGGGGACGACGUCAAGUCAUCAUGGCCCUUAAGUCCAGGGCUGCACACGUGCUACAAUGGGAUGGCACAGAGCGAUGCCAAGCCGCGAGGCGGAGCAAAUCGCAGAAAACAUCCCUCAGUUCAGAUUGCAGGCUGCAACUCGCCUGCAUGAAGCUGGAAUCGCUAGUAAUCGCGUAUCAGCUAUGACGCGGUGAAUAUGUUCCUGAGCCUUGCACACACCGCCCGU
rnacentral:rRNA from 1 species